GCCCCUACAGACAUGUAAAAUACCAGCUCACAAGGAACUUCCUACAGCUACUUCUGGCUGGCAACAUGCUAGCCGUUAGCCGCUAAUGGGGUUAUGUUCAACAACUCCUGGAGAUGCCACUCCAUGAGUUGGGUCGAAAUCCUUUGCUGGGAAUUGCCUCAAAAAGGAGGAAAACCCCAAAGGUCACGAAAGGUCAGCAAUUAGAUUGGCCUCCUUCAGCCACGUAGACUUACAGAAUCUGGCUGCAAAACUCAACAUUUAAAUAAAAAGUGGUGUAGUGUCGUUCCACACAGGUUGGUGUCACAGUGGAGCCUGGGUGGGUCAUUGCUCUGGUGUCCGCCAUGUCCUAAUGGGGUCAGAGGCCCAAAGGCAGUCUCACUCUGACAUUGAGGGAACCCUUAUUCAACCUCCUCUGCAUGUCGCUGUGGUCUAUCUGGAGCCCAUCAGGCUGGUCGCCCAUCCCCCCUUUCACAGUACUGCAGGUGCCCCAAGGUUUCCAGCUUAUGCCUUAAUAGAAGGCCUCAGAAGCCUGAAUCGGCCAUUUAGGGUUAGGUUUUGGCACUAAGCAACUGGUUAAGGAGAUACUGGUGGUUUCAUUUUAACUGUCUGAUCAGGCUCUUCGCAACAACACCAAGUAUGUCCCAAUCGGACUUUCAUAGCCCAAGCAGCAAGGUUAAACACAGUACCAUUUCUUGUAUCUCAAUGAAGCACAGCAGCUUUGAAGAUGGGUGAUUUUGCGGGCUGUAGGAUGGAUUUGAGUCUGGGUUGAUUAUCUUUGGAGCCUAUUAGCUGUUCCUGAGGAGUAGUUCCCCUAAUACACCUAAUAUGUAUAUGCAUUGCUCACUUAAAGUACAAUAAUGUUGUGCAGCAAUGUUAGGAAUAUAUUAUUACCUAGUAGAUGCCUAAAACCAGAUAAAACAUUUAUUUUAAGAACAGGCAGAAAUAAAAUACAAAGUUUAAAAUGUCUUAGUUCUGAAUGGACUUAAUUAUUUUUGAGUAGUGGGGGAAAUCACAUUGAAAUGUAGCGGAGGCUGAGGUCCAAGAGAUUAGCUAAAACAAACUCUCUUUGGUUUAAGAUUAUCAGAUGUUUUUCUUUACAACCAAUUUUUUGCAUCUGUAGUUUAUUUCAAUUAAGUAAUCUUACACAUGUAAUAUGAUGUGCAUGCAUUUAUAUCAAUGUUUACACACAAUAUUAUUUAACAAGUCACUCCUAAAAGUUACAUACCCAAAGAAAUAAACUAUGUGUAGGUAUUACAUCUUUAAAAUCAAGUUACUGUGACUUAUAAUGUCUUCCAUUUCGAUUUAGAUUUUAGCAGACCACAGAAAAGUGUAAGGGAGGGGGAGGGGAGCCUUCAGUUGAACACCUGCACUGCUGACCUUUCAACAAGCCUAGUUGAAUUCAUGGGAAAUGGGAAUCUGUUAAACUAAUAGAAAAUGGAUCUAUGCAAUGUCUUCAAAUGAUUCUGCAUCAUGUAAAAAAACAUGUCUAAAAUUCUAGUUCAACAAGAAAAUAUGUUAGUAAAACUAGUUGUUGUUUUUUUUUAAAUAAAUUUUCUUCCAACAAGCACAUUUGCCAGUAGAACUAAACAUUCGUACAGGUCUUAAACGCAUCUCAAGAAAUGUAUCAAAAGUCACUUGCAGCAGGAGCACGCAGAAACAGGAGCCAGGUCAAGAAACAAGUCUUGUAAUUGGAGAUAACAGCAUUUUCCGAAAUCUUGGGAAACAUCAUAGAAGAUAAUGAUCAGCAAAACAAAGGAAGGAUGAGGGAAGGAAAGGAACUUGAUGCAGUGACCCUAAGAUCUCCAAGUGAGAACCAAGGAGAACCAUCAAAGCAGUCUAAGCAGGCAGGAAAAACUGGCAAAGAUCAGGAUGUGAAUAGACCAGCUAUUGAACCUACAUCUCAUCGACAGCUUUGGAGUAAGGCCGAAAAGGCAGCAGUAUGGCAACACAUUUGCCAAUAUGUAACCUUAGAGAGUUCCUGGUAAAGAACCGUGUCUUGAGGCACUUAAAGUUGAGCCUGCACUGAGAAGCCAAACUUGGAAAGACAUAAAAAACAAGUUUACAAUACUAUUACUGUUCAAAAGCUGAAAAAACAUUCUACAUUAGAUAUGGUCAAUCUUACAUUGUUUGGUUAAAACUACAAAAGAAGUUGUAAGCAGUGCAUAUUUGGCAAUGGUCCUUUGCCUAGUGUUUGGACAGCAGCAAAAAUAUGUAAUUUUGUUCCAUAAACAAAUAAAAUAGUUUGCAUUCGG